rnacentral:rRNA from 1 species
AGUGAACGCUGGCGGUGCGCCUAACACAUGCAAGUCGAACGCGAAAGUCCUUCGGGAUGAGUAGAGUGGCGGACGGGUGAGUAACGCGUCGGAAUCUAUCCUGUAGUGGGGGAUAACGUUUCGAAAGGAACGCUAAUACCGCUUAAGCCCCACGGGGGAAAGCGAGGGAUCUUCGGACCUCGUGCUAUAGGAGGAGCCUGCGUCGGAUUAACUAGUUGGGGAGGUAAAGGGUCACCAAGGCGACGAUCCGUAGCUGGUCUGAGAGGAUGAUCGGCCACACCGGAACUGGGACGCGGUCCGGACUCCUACGGGAGGCAGCAGUGGGGAAUAUAUCGCAAUGGGCGAAAGCCUGACGCAGCCAUACCGCGUGUGGGAAGAAGGCCUGCGGGUUGUAAAGCACUUUCAGUGGGGAGGAAAAGCUGGUGGCUAAUAUCCACCGGCCGUGACGCUACCCACAGAAGAAGCACCGGCUAAUUCCGUGCCAGCCGCCGCAGUAA